CGGAGGAAAAGAAACCAACAGGGAUUGCCUUAGUAGCGGCGAGUGAAGCGGCAAAAGCUCAAAUUUGAAAUCUGGCGCCUUCGGUGUCCGAGUUGUAAUUUGAAGAUUGUAACCUUGGGGUUGGCUCUUGUCUAUGUUUCUUGGAACAGGACGUCACAGAGGGUGAGAAUCCCGUGCGAUGAGAUGCCCAAUUCUAUGUAAGGUGCUUUCGAAGAGUCGAGUUGUUUGGGAAUGCAGCUCUAAGUGGGUGGUAAAUUCCAUCUAAAGCUAAAUAUUGGCGAGAGACCGAUAGCGAACAAGUACAGUGAUGGAAAGAUGAAAAGAACUUUGAAAAGAGAGUGAAAAAGUACGUGAAAUUGUUGAAAGGGAAGGGUUUGAGAUCAGACUCGAUAUUUUGUGAGCCUUGCCUUCGUGGCGGGGUGACCCGCAGCUUAUCGGGCCAGCAUCGGUUUGGGCGGUAGGAUAAUGGCGUAGGAAUGUGACUUUACUUCGGUGAAGUGUUAUAGCCUGCGUUGAUGCUGCCUGCCUAGACCGAGGACUGCGAUUUUAUCAAGGAUGCUGGCAUAAUGAUCCCAAACCGCCCGUCUU
rnacentral:rRNA from 1 species